rnacentral:tRNA from 1 species
GUUCCAGUAGCUCAAUUGGAUAGAGCAUCACUUUGCGGAAGUGAAGGUUGCUGGUUCGAGUCCAGUCUGGAACA